UAAGGAAUAUUGGACAAUGGAGGCAACUCUGAUCCAGCCAUGCCGCGUGAAGGACGAAGGCGCUCUGCGUUGUAAACUUCUUUUGUACAGGAACAAAACCCGGGGUGCGCCCCGGACUGAGGGUACUGUAAGAAUAAGCACCGGCUAACUCCGUGCCAGCAGCCGCGGUAAUACGGAGGGUGCAAGCGUUAUCCGGAAUCACUGGGUUUAAAGGGUGCGUAGGCGGUUUUUUAAGUCAGUUGUGAAAUUCCCCCGCUUAACGGGAGGGACUGCGAUUGAUACUGAAGAACUUGAAUCAGGUUGAGGUAGGCGGAAUGUGACAUGUAGCGGUGAAAUGCAUAGAUAUGUCAUAGAACACCGAUUGCGAAGGCAGCUUGCUGGACCUGUAUUGACGCUGAGGCACGAAAGCGUGGGGAGCAAACAGG
rnacentral:rRNA from 1 species